UUAAGCGACUAAGCGUACACGGUGGAUGCCCUGGCAGUCAGAGGCGAUGAAGGACGUGCUAAUCUGCGAUAAGCGUCGGUAAGGUGAUAUGAACCGUUAUAACCGGCGAUUUCCGAAUGGGGAAACCCAGUGUGUUUCGACACACUAUCAUUAACUGAAUCCAUAGGUUAAUGAGGCGAACCGGGGGAACUGAAACAUCUAAGUACCCCGAGGAAAAGAAAUCAACCGAGAUUCCCCCAGUAGCGGCGAGCGAACGGGGAGCAGCCCAGAGCCUGAAUCAGUGUGUGUGUUAGUGGAAGCGUCUGGAAAGGCGCGCGAUACAGGGUGACAGCCCCGUACACAAAAAUGCACAUGCUGUGAGCUCGAUGAGUAGGGCGGGACACGUGGUAUCCUGUCUGAAUAUGGGGGGGACCAUCCUCCAAGGCUAAAUACUCCUGACUGACCGAUAGUGAACCAGUACCGUGAGGGAAAGGCGAAAAGAACCCCGGCGAGGGGAGUGAAAAAGAACCUGAAACCGUGUACGUACAAGCAGUGGGAGCACGCUUAGGCGUGUGACUGCGUACCUUUUGUAUAAUGGGUCAGCGACUUAUAUUCUGUAGCAAGGUUAACCGAAUAGGGGAGCCGAAGGGAAACCGAGUCUUAACUGGGCGUUAAGUUGCAGGGUAUAGACCCGAAACCCGGUGAUCUAGCCAUGGGCAGGUUGAAGGUUGGGUAACACUAACUGGAGGACCGAACCGACUAAUGUUGAAAAAUUAGCGGAUGACUUGUGGCUGGGGGUGAAAGGCCAAUCAAACCGGGAGAUAGCUGGUUCUCCCCGAAAGCUAUUUAGGUAGCGCCUCGUGAAUUCAUCUCCGGGGGUAGAGCACUGUUUCGGCAAGGGGGUCAUCCCGACUUACCAACCCGAUGCAAACUGCGAAUACCGGAGAAUGUUAUCACGGGAGACACACGGCGGGUGCUAACGUCCGUCGUGAAGAGGGAAACAACCCAGACCGCCAGCUAAGGUCCCAAAGUCAUGGUUAAGUGGGAAACGAUGUGGGAAGGCCCAGACAGCCAGGAUGUUGGCUUAGAAGCAGCCAUCAUUUAAAGAAAGCGUAAUAGCUCACUGGUCGAGUCGGCCUGCGCGGAAGAUGUAACGGGGCUAAACCAUGCACCGAAGCUGCGGCAGCGACACUAUGUGUUGUUGGGUAGGGGAGCGUUCUGUAAGCCUGUGAAGGUGUGCUGUGAGGCAUGCUGGAGGUAUCAGAAGUGCGAAUGCUGACAUAAGUAACGAUAAAGCGGGUGAAAAACCCGCUCGCCGGAAGACCAAGGGUUCCUGUCCAACGUUAAUCGGGGCAGGGUGAGUCGACCCCUAAGGCGAGGCCGAAAGGCGUAGUCGAUGGGAAACAGGUUAAUAUUCCUGUACUUGGUGUUACUGCGAAGGGGGGACGGAGAAGGCUAUGUUGGCCGGGCGACGGUUGUCCCGGUUUAAGCGUGUAGGCUGGUUUUCCAGGCAAAUCCGGAAAAUCAAGGCUGAGGCGUGAUGACGAGGCACUACGGUGCUGAAGCAACAAAUGCCCUGCUUCCAGGAAAAGCCUCUAAGCAUCAGGUAACAUCAAAUCGUACCCCAAACCGACACAGGUGGUCAGGUAGAGAAUACCAAGGCGCUUGAGAGAACUCGGGUGAAGGAACUAGGCAAAAUGGUGCCGUAACUUCGGGAGAAGGCACGCUGAUAUGUAGGUGAGGUCCCUCGCGGAUGGAGCUGAAAUCAGUCGAAGAUACCAGCUGGCUGCAACUGUUUAUUAAAAACACAGCACUGUGCAAACACGAAAGUGGACGUAUACGGUGUGACGCCUGCCCGGUGCCGGAAGGUUAAUUGAUGGGGUUAGCGCAAGCGAAGCUCUUGAUCGAAGCCCCGGUAAACGGCGGCCGUAACUAUAACGGUCCUAAGGUAGCGAAAUUCCUUGUCGGGUAAGUUCCGACCUGCACGAAUGGCGUAAUGAUGGCCAGGCUGUCUCCACCCGAGACUCAGUGAAAUUGAACUCGCUGUGAAGAUGCAGUGUACCCGCGGCAAGACGGAAAGACCCCGUGAACCUUUACUAUAGCUUGACACUGAACAUUGAGCCUUGAUGUGUAGGAUAGGUGGGAGGCUUAGAAGUGUGGACGCCAGUCUGCAUGGAGCCGACCUUGAAAUACCACCCUUUAAUGUUUGAUGUUCUAACGUUGACCCGUAAUCCGGGUUGCGGACAGUGUCUGGUGGGUAGUUUGACUGGGGCGGUCUCCUCCUAAAGAGUAACGGAGGAGCACGAAGGUUGGCUAAUCCUGGUCGGACAUCAGGAGGUUAGUGCAAUGGCAUAAGCCAGCUUGACUGCGAGCGUGACGGCGCGAGCAGGUGCGAAAGCAGGUCAUAGUGAUCCGGUGGUUCUGAAUGGAAGGGCCAUCGCUCAACGGAUAAAAGGUACUCCGGGGAUAACAGGCUGAUACCGCCCAAGAGUUCAUAUCGACGGCGGUGUUUGGCACCUCGAUGUCGGCUCAUCACAUCCUGGGGCUGAAGUAGGUCCCAAGGGUAUGGCUGUUCGCCAUUUAAAGUGGUACGCGAGCUGGGUUUAGAACGUCGUGAGACAGUUCGGUCCCUAUCUGCCGUGGGCGCUGGAGAACUGAGGGGGGCUGCUCCUAGUACGAGAGGACCGGAGUGGACGCAUCACUGGUGUUCGGGUUGUCAUGCCAAUGGCACUGCCCGGUAGCUAAAUGCGGAAGAGAUAAGUGCUGAAAGCAUCUAAGCACGAAACUUGCCCCGAGAUGAGUUCUCCCUGACCCUUUAAGGGUCCUGAAGGAACGUUGAAGACGACGACGUUGAUAGGCCGGGUGUGUAAGCGCAGCGAUGCGUUGAGCUAACCGGUACUAAUGAACCGUGAGGCUUAACCUU
rnacentral:rRNA from 1 species